GUAAGGAAUAUUGGUCAAUGGGCGGAAGCCUGAACCAGCCAUGCCGCGUGCAGGAAGACGGCCCUACGGGUUGUAAACUGCUUUUGCAGGGGAAUAAACCUCAGUACGUGUACUGAGCUGAAUGUACUCUGAGAAUAAGGAUCGGCUAACUCCGUGCCAGCAGCCGCGGUAAUACGGAGGAUCCAAGCGUUAUCCGGAUUUAUUGGGUUUAAAGGGUGCGUAGGUGGCCUGUUAAGUCAGGGGUGAAAGACGGUAGCUCAACUAUCGCAGUGCCUUUGAUACUGACGGGCUUGAAUCCACUAGAGGUAGGCGGAAUGUGACAAGUAGCGGUGAAAUGCAUAGAUAUGUCACAGAACACCAAUUGCGAAGGCAGCUUACUAUGGUGGUAUUGACACUGAGGCACGAAAGCGUGGGGAUCAAACAGGAUUAGAUACCCUUGUAGUCC
rnacentral:rRNA from 1 species